rnacentral:rRNA from 1 species
GAUGAACGCUGGCGGCGUGCCUAAUACAUGCAAGUCGAGCGAACAGACGAGAGUGCUUGCACUCUCUGCCGUUAGCGGCGGACGGGUGAGUCACACGUGGGUAACCUACCUAUAAGACUGGGAUAACUUCGGGAAACCGGAGCUAAUACCGGAUAAUAUUUAGCUUCGCAUGAAGCAAUAGUGAAAGACGGUUCUGCUGUCACUUAUAGAUGGACCCGCGGUGUAUUAGCUAGUUGGUGAGGUAACGGCUCACCAAGGCAACGAUACAUAGCCGACCUGAGAGGGUGAUCGGCCACACUGGGACUGAGACACGGCCCAGACUCCUACGGGAGGCAGCAGUAGGGAAUCUUCCGCAAUGGACGAAAGUCUGACGGAGCAAUGCCGCGUGAGUGAAGAAGGUUUUCGGAUCGUAAAACUCUGUUGUAAGGGAAGAACAAGUACGUUAGUAACUGAACGUACCUUGACGGUACCUGACCAGAAAGCCACGGCUAACUACGUG